CCUUGACAUGCUGAGAACUUUCCAGAGAUGGAUUGGUGCCUUCGGGAACUCAGACACAGGUGCUGCAUGGCUGUCGUCAGCUCGUGUCGUGAGAUGUUGGGUUAAGUCCCGUAACGAGCGCAACCCUUGUCCUUAGUUACCAGCACGUAAUGGUGGGCACUCUAAGGAGACUGCCGGUGACAAACCGGAGGAAGGUGGGGAUGACGUCAAGUCAUCAUGGCCCCUACGGCCAGGGCUACACACGUGCUACAAUGGUCGGUACAAAGGGUUGCCAAGCCGCGAGGUGGAGCUAAUCCCAUAAAACCGAUCGUAGUCCGGAUCGCAGUCUGCAACUCGACUGCGUGAAGUCGGAAUCGCUAGUAAUCGUGAAUCAGAAUGUCACGGUGAAUACGUUCCCGGGCCUUGUACACACCGCCCGUCACACCAUGGGAGUGGGUUGCUCCAGAAGUAGCUAGUCUAACCUUCGGGGGGACGGUUACCACGGAGUGAUUCAUGACUGGGGUGAAGUCGUAACAAGGUAGGCGUAGAUGA
rnacentral:rRNA from 1 species